GAGCUUCUGCGGUGUUUGUUACGGUCAGCUUAAUUGGAGAACCGAUGAAGUUUAUAUAGGGAAGCUCGUUAGCCUUGCGGUGAGAUAAUGCCUGAAAAAACGGGACUUUCAAACUGCUUGGCCGGCUGCCCACGUUGAUUGCAAGGGUUCUUGCAAUCGCUUUCCGAACGGCACACGCGGAAGUUAG
rfam:Phycisphaerae bacterium L21-RPul-D3, complete genome.